rnacentral:misc_RNA from 1 species
GUAUCGAAUUACAGAGGACCCAAAGUGCGUUCUUGAAAAUUCAGGCAUUAUGUUAUCAUGUAUUCUUUUUUCUCACUUUGUACACUGCACACACAGUCAUUUGUUUCUUAUUCUUUCUUUCUUUCAUGAUUAUUGUAGUUAUCUGACCAAAUAUCAUAUAUUGCAGAUACUGUGAAUGGGGUUGGCAAAUCUUUGAAGCAUUUGAGAAGUGCACAAAGGUUGAAUCUGGUGGGUACAGUUCCUUAGAAGAUGUCACUGAGCUUCCUCCUCGGAGAAGAGACAAGAUGGAGACCUUCUAUUUAGGAGAGACAUUGAAGUAUCUGUAC